rnacentral:misc_RNA from 1 species
UUCCCUGGUAAAGCUUUAACCUGCUGAAGCCUGACACGGCGACUAUAAAUCAAGUGUGGAGUCUUGACUUUGGGCAAGACAAUGCCGCUGAAAUGCUGUCAUCGACUAUUGUUGUACCAGCAGCCAGAUGCGUCUUGAGUGACAACUGGCCCACAGAUCAAGGUGCGGUGGUUUCUGUUGAGGGCCUGCCUUCAACGAAACUUUGAUAUGACCGGUCCCAACCGUGAUGGUUGAGAGUCCACGUUCCGUAGGUGAACCUGCGGAAGGAUCAUUAUCGAGUCAGGGUCUUUUAGGCCCGAAACUCCAACCCUAUGUUUAUUUACCAUGUUGCUUUGGCGGGCCCGUCUUAACUGACCGUGGGAGGCUGGUCUUCUCGCCAGUGCCCGUCAGUAGCCCCUUUAAAUUCAUUAUAAUAGUGAUGUCUAAGUCUAAAUUAAAUCGUUAAAACUUUCAACAACGGAUCUCUUGGUUCUG